CUGUGUUCACAUCACACAGGUCCAACCCUAAAAUACAAUACAGAGAGUGUUGACCACCACAUUGGAUUCUGUGUACAUCAGUGUGUGUGGGUCAACCUGCUAGUCCUGAUAUUUAAUCCAUUUCACUAAAUUAUGGACUGUUCGUAUUCUGUAAGUGCGAUGCUGAAGGCAGGAACAGAUUAGCAGAUCAUGUCAAUAAUUACAGUCAAGAAUAUUUCUUUCAUGGCCUGCGAAUGUGCAUCACAGACCAAAUUUUUUUAUAACCAGAGUUGUGUCUGUCACUUCAUGGGCGAAGUGAGACUCAAGCGACAGUUGGCAUCACUUAGAAAUAAUUUGUAGUCCACAAACACAGAGUUUUAUGUCUGAACCUGAAUCGUACCCGCAUUCAGAGAGGGCAAAGUGAUCUCAAACACUGAUGGGACCUUCAUUGUCAUGUAUAACAAACAUUAGUCAUUGCCAUGUACGCAGUCUAUGCUCUCAGCUUCAAUUUACAAUCAUGGCUUUCUCAGUUUAAUACUUGGCCUUAAGUGCCUGCAUCCUGUCGUAGCAUCCUGCUGAACCAGAUAUACAUAGUGUUGAUAAGAUUAAUUUGUACCUGUAGCAACUUAGCGAUGACAGUGGGUUUCAAUGUGCAUUGGCGUGGAUACUGUAUAAAAGUUAGAUGAAGGCUUCUCCAUCUCACCCUAUGACAAACAUACAUUCACGGUAUGUAACAUGAAAGUGAUGUCUCCUGUAGAAACCGUUAACCCAACAACCAGCAGCGGUUUGGACAGAGAAGGACGUUCAGAGUGUGUUUACGGGGACUAGACGUAAACAAACAAUUAUUCUCAGAAUUCACGAGUGAUAUCAGGGAAGUGAAGCUUUUGCUGUUUUAGAUAAACAUCGUGGAGUCAUUGGCUGCUGCGCUUCGUGCCCCGUGUACAGUCACGUGACUAUGUGUAGUGAGAAAGACAAGGAUGUAGAUUGAAGAGAAAGUGCGAUUUCAUUGUUUCUCACAAUUUGAGUCUGCAUUUUGCUAGACAAGACCCUACACAUGUCAAAGAUGAAGAAAUGGAGCUUUGUUUUCGUGUGCUCUGUUUAUUUCAGCAUUAACCUUGUUUCAGGACUCACUAUACAAAACUGUGUUUUUGGGCGGAUUUAUAUCCUACAAGAUACUUCGACACUUAUUACAUGCAGCAACAUACCUGAGACAGAAAAUGUCACGUGGACAGUUGAGAAUGAUAGAACUGAGACAAUCUUCAAAUAUGUCUGUGGAAGUAUUACAGCCUGUAGCGGCAUUACUUACAGAGAUUUUUCUUUACAAAGAUACAGGGAUGAUGGGAUUUCACUAGUCAUCAACAGAAACCAUCGACGAUAUGAAGGCUUCAACGUGACCUGCUCCACGACAACUGAACACGUGGAGUGUAGGAUGCACAUCUUUCACGCCGCAGAGUUGAGCCCGUGUACAACUGAAAUCAACCCGAGGUUAUGGACGAUAGCAGCAACAUGUCCCGUUAACAAAUUUUUCUCGACGGCACAGGAAGUUUAUUGUGGAGUAACGGAGCGUCAAAAUUUCUUAAACAGCUCAAUGACGAUCAGCUGGAGAUCUCUCUGCCAACUUCACCUACAAAACUACACUGACACAGUAGAUAACAACACUUACCAGAGAGGUACCUGUCACUUCACUAUGUACCUUCCUCCUUCAGCUGGUAAUUAUUCCUACAUCAUCCACAUCCGACCUGGCCCGGCACAGGACACUGGUGUAGAGGUGUGGACAGACAAUUUAAAACCAAGUUGCGCAAAAUUCUUGCAAGAGAAUCCGAACGGCAGUUGUGAGUGUUAUGAGCGAGAUCUUGCAUCUUCCUCCUACACAGGAGGGACAACGAACUACGUGUGUAACAUUGUCAGAGGAUCCACAUCGCAGAGUACACCACCAUCCCUCACUCCCACUUCUCAAACCCCAAACUGGAACAACAGGUACCAUUCCAGUCAUAAUAGACCUACAAGUACAACAACAGCAACCACUUUGUCCAGCACUACAAGAACAACAAAAACUCCUCAAUCUUCCCACGACUCUUUUCGCGGGCUCCAGCCUGUGAACAUCUCCACCAACGCCACUCAACCGUUUGUCACAGACGGUACAACACAGAUGGCGCUCUUCUGUCAGACUGAUGACGUGUAUCCAGCCGUCAGGUACACAUGGGCAGGUGUGACAUGUAUCAACGAGCAUCACAAACACGGCACGUGCAUCUUCACACCUAGAGUCCCUCAGGACGACGGUCGUCAGGUGACGUGUGAUGCUUACAGUGUUGUCUCCCUUGAACGGAGGUCGUCUGACCCCUACACAAUACAACUGAACUAUCCUCCUCCGUCACCUCCAAUCAUACGCGGGUAUGAGGAGGGGUCGGUCUUGACAGAAGGAGAAAAGUUCAUCUUGGACUGUGAGGUCAAAGGUGGGAAACCGAAAGUUAGGUCUGUGAGGUUUGUUUGCGUUGAUGAACCUGACAACCCGGACAUUGUGGAUGGCAUGUCUGUCUGGAGUCGUGUCCUCAUCAAUGUCAAGACCAAACAUGAUAAUACAGUGUGUUUGUGCUCGGCCACAUGGAGCCCACAGCCGAGGUUUUACUCCAACACUACUUUUCUACGUCUCUACGUCAAUGAAAGCACGAUGCCACGAUCCCCUUCAGUGACGACAAGAAAGAUGUAUAAAAAGCCUAGACAGACACCAGUAACGACUUCACAAGUGACCCACGUGACCACGUCUUCAGAACUGGGUUCGUCUCCAUCGCCUCAAAGUAACACCGGUCAGUCAGUCCCCAUUGGGAUCAUUGCAGGAAGUGUUGCAGCCGUUGUAGUAACUGUCAUCGUCAUCGCCGCCGUGGUUUACGUCACCAGACGGCGACAGAAUCGUAAGUAAACAUGAGCUAAAGGUGUUUGUGAUGAUAAACCUACAAUUAUGGCGAUGUUGCAUAAGCUUGGAAUAAGUAAACUUUACAGUUAUUCUGGUUAGAGGUCUGUGUCACCAAAUAAUGCCCGCUUGCCAUUCCAGUACGAACCUCAUUUAUCACGGUAAGUAAAAAGACAGGUUAAAGCGCUGCCAUCCAAACGGUCUGCCCUCGAGAUGGUUACAGCUACAGUGGUUACAUCUACGACCACCAGGCAAUGGGAUUCUUUACCGUUUGCUUUGCCUCUCGUUUGUCUAGAAACCUGAGUUUACCUCAUUCUAUGACAUUUUUCAGUAAAAUAUCCAAAAACUUCUUGUUAAUUUUUGCUGCUGAUAACGAAAAAAAUUUCUUGUUUUCAAAACAAAGGUUAGGGGAGGUAAUUUUAAUCCUCAGAACAGGAGUUGUCUCCUUUUUUUCACAAAGUAACUAUGGGGAGGGCUGAGGUGGCCUGUUAGCUCUUCCUGGCCCCGUUUGGUCCCCUGACCGCAGGUGGACCAGGUCAGUUUACGGGGUAAACCUUACCCUCCCCUUCUUUCCGUUUUUAUAUCAUUCUUUGGGAAGAAUAAGGCUAGAGCUGUGAGUGGACCUCGCACUCUGAAGUACAGCGGGUUGCGCUUCUAUCCGCCAUAGAAAACCACGAAGCCUUUAAGGUUGUGGAAGUUUUGAGAAUCUUUACAAAGAUCCAGAAAGUUUUCCCCAUUUGCAUGAAUAGCCAAGGUAAAAGUAAGCAUGCAAGAAAUAAUUUUGCGCUGCUGGAGCCGCCUGUGGUCGUCGUUGGAGAGUGCCGAGGGCUGCAGGAUGCUGGUGUGCUUUGGGUACAGCAAUGGUGUGGUUCAGUUGCUGUAUCAAGUGAGCGUUGGACGGAUUCCUGGGAACCGAUGCUCUCUUCAUCUACCUGCUGUGAUACAAUGUCGACAACUUUACAGUCAAAGAGAGACAACAGCACUCAAGGAGGGAUCCGUAUCCUCAAUUCACAUUUUGCUAGACAAGACCCUACACAUGUCAAAGAUGAAAAGAUGGAGCUAUAUUGUCUUUGUGUGCUCUGCUUAUUUCAGCAUUAACCUUACUUCAGGACUCACUAUACAAAACUGCGUUUUAGGAUGGAUUUAUAUCCCACAAGACACUUCGACUUUGAUUGGAUGCACCAGCAUAUCUGAGACAGAAAAGGUCACGUGGACAGUUGAGAAUGAUAGAACUGGGACAAUCUUCAAACAUGUCUGUGGAGGUAUUGCAGCCUGUAGCGGCGUUACUCGCGGAGAUAUUUCUUUACAAACCUACAGGAAUCAUGGGAUGUCACUGGUCAUCAACAGAAACCAUCGACAAUAUGAAGGCUUCAACGUGACCUGCUCUACGACAACUGAACACGCGGAGUGUAGGAUGCACAUCUUUCACGCCGCGAAGUUGAGCCCGUGCACAACUGCAAUCAACCCGAGGUUAUGGACAUUUGCAGCAACAUGUCCCGUUAACAAAUUUUUCUCGCCGACACAAAACGUUUCUUGUGCAGUAACGGAGCAUCAAAAUUUCUUAAACAGCCCACUGACGAUCAAACCAAGAUUCCCAGGCCAACUUCACCUACAAGACUACACUGACACAGUAGAUCACAACACUUAUCAGAGAGGUAGCUGUCACUUCACUAUGUACCUUCCUACUUCACCUGGUAAUUAUUCCUACAUCAUCCACAUCCGACCUGGCCCGGCACAGGACACUGGCAUAGAGGUGUGGAUAGACAAUUUAAAACCAAACUGCGCAAAAUUCUUACAAGAGAAUCCAAACGGCAGUUGUGAGUGUUUUGAGCGAGAUCCACGAUCUUUCUACAACACACGAGGGACAGCGAACUACGUGUGUAGCAUUGUCAGAGGAUCCACAUCGCAGACUACACAACCACCACUCAGUCCCACUUCUCAAACCACAUGGUUGGGUUCGUCUCCAUCGCCUCAACGUAACACCGGUCAGUCAGUCAACAUUGAAGUCAUUGCAGGAAGUGUUGCAGCCGUUGUAGUAAUUGUCAUCGUCAUCGCCGCCAUCGUCUACGUCACCAGACGGCGACAGAAUCGUAAGUAAACAUGAGCUAAAAGUGUUUGUGAUGAUAAACAUAUAAUUAUAGCGAUGUUGCAUAAGCUUGGAAUAUGUAAACUUUACAGUUAUUCUGGUUAGAGGUCUGUCACCAAAUAAUACCCGCUUGCCAUUGCAGCACAAACCUCAUUUAUCAGGGUAAGUAAAAGAGGUAAAAAGACAGGGUAAAGCGUUGCUCUCCAAACUUUCUACCCUCGGGAUGGUUACAACUACAGUGGUUUCAACUACAUUAGCUACAGCUACGACCACCAGGCAAUGGGAUUCUUUACCGUUUGCUUUGCCUCGCGUUCUGGCUCAUUGUAUGACCGCAGGUGGACCAGGUCAGUUUACGGGGUAACCCUAACCCUCCCGGUCUUUCCGUUUUUAUAUCAUUCUUUGGGAAGACUAAGGCUACAGCGGUGAGUGGACCUCGCACUCGGGAGUACAGCGGGUUGCUCUUCUAUCCGACAUAGAAAACCGCGAAGCCUUUAAGGUUGUGGAAGUUUUGCGAAUCUUUAGAAAGAUUCAGAAAGUUUUCCCCAUUCCCAUGAAUAGCCAGGGUAACAGGAAGCAAUCAAGAAGUCGUUUUGUCGCUGCUGGAGAGGUCUAUGGUCGUCGUUGGAGAGUGCCGAGGGCUGCGGGAUGCUGGUGUGCUUUGGGUACACUGUACAUGGUGGGUACACUGUACUUUGGGUACACUGUACCCGGUACAGCAAUGGUGUGGUUCAGUUGCUGCACCAAGUGAGCGUUGGACGAUUCCUGGGAACCGGUGCUCACUUCAUGUACCUGCUGUGAUAUAAUUUGGACAACUUUACAGUCAAAGAGAGACAACAGCACACAAGGAGGGAUACGUAUCCUCGAUGCACAUGUAAGUUUGUUUUUAUAUAUAUUAUAAUAUUUAACAAUGAGUUCAACACUUUACAUUUAGAAAAUUAUAAAAAUUAUGAACACAACUUGGAUUGAAUUGGAUACGAAUCUGUGUGUGUGUGUAUAUAUAUAUAUAGAUAUGCGUGAGUGAGUGAUAAUAUCUGUGUAAGUAUACACAUCUGUGAGUACAGCCUUGACUAAAACGUGAGAUAGACAAAGAGAGGAUGUGUGUUUAUGUAAGUCUACAUCUGGGUGUGUGUUUGAUCAACACUUUUUCGAGAAAGGAAAUUUUAUGAUUGAUUCCUUUAGAUAUUUAUGAUAAUAUUUACUAUCAAUGAUUACCAUUUGUUAUUUCUAUUGACCUAUUGAUUCUUACAGUUAACAAAAAACCUGUUCUUUUUUUUUAUUAAACAUAAGAUUUUUUUCCUAAAGUGACCAGUGCAUAAGGAAUGGCUCACAAGGAUGUGCAAUGCAAAGAAUGGUUUACCAAGACUGUUCUGUAUUUUACUUUCCAGUCUUCUGCACAGACUAACCUACACUUCAUCCUCAGGAGCUCCACAUUGCCAGGACAAGCUACUACAGAGUUGUACCCACAGUUCUUCAGUCGAAGACUCUCCUUACAACUUGGCCAAAACUCAUGAAAAGUCAUUUCCCGCUCUCGUGGAAGACAAGGUUCAUGUAUGGAGACUUGGACUACUGGUGGAGUAGCGGACAGUGAAACUCUCCGACAUGAGUGAGACCACAGAUAUCUACAGGACUGUCAUCACAGUGAGACUGGUGCUGAUGAAUUUACUCCCGAGGUCUGCAUUAGAUUCAGGUUCUGUGUCAUCACACAAAGACAAGCCUCAACUAUUCAUCCCUGUUGCUGCCGGUGCAGCGUCUGUGGUUCUCGUCCUUAUUAUCGUCGUCGUCCUCAUCACUUGCGUCAUCAAAACGAAACAAACGCAACUUGAGGAACAGGUCAACAUGGUCUACGUCAGUGCGGACAUCCCAAGUUUGAGCUAGUCACGUGCCAUUUUGCGACCUCUAGUCAAGACAAUACUGACAUCAAAACAUGCAAGGAGCAACAUCCAGCAAAUGUUCCCAAAAUGCAACAAUGACAGUUUAGCCAUUUUCAAGAUCAACAACGGUGGAAACAGAACCUACCAACGUUGACAAGACAAUGGAUUUGCAGACACAUCCUCAGUUAUAAAGAGGAGUGAUGGAAUUUACUAAAAUAAAGAAGUAAACAAACUA
rnacentral:misc_RNA from 1 species